AAUUGCUUUGAGAUAUGCUUAUAUAGAAUUAGGUUGUUGGUGUAAAGUUAAAAGCUUACCAAGCCGAUGAUUCUUAAUUGAUCUGAGAGGAUGAUCAAUCACAUUAAGACUGAGACAAUGCUUAAACUUUUAUAAAAGGCAGCAGUACGGAAUAUUGGACAAUAAGUGUAAACUUGAUCCAGCAAUAUAAAGUGAAUGAUUGAAGGCCAUUGUGUUGUAAAGUUCUUUUAUUAAAAAAGAUUAUGACUUAUUUAAUGAAUAAACCCGGACUAAUUUCGUGCCAGCAGUCGCGGUUAUACGAAACGGGUUAACGUUAUUCAGAAUUACUGGGUGUAAAACAUGUGUAGACUACUAUUGUUAUGUAGAAGAUUAAAUCCUAAACGUAAAAAUUUAGAUCGUUUUCUACACAAAUGGUUUGAGUAUAGUUAAAGAUUAUAGAAUUUUAGGUGAAGCAAUAAAAUGUGGAGAUAUCUGAAAGAAUGCCAAUAUGCGAAGGCAAUAUUCUGAACUAAAACUGACGUUAAUACAUGAAAGCAUGGGGAGCAAAUUGGAUUAGAUACCCAGUUAGUCCAUUGCUGUAAACUAUAAAUAUUCGCUUUAUAAUUAGUUAAAAUUGGGAAGCCAAACUAACGUGUUAAAUAUUUUACCUGAGUAGUAUGCUUGCAAUAUUGAAACUUAAAAGAAUUGACUG
rnacentral:rRNA from 1 species